AGAUGGCGACCGGCGCACGGGUGAGUAACGCGUAUCCAACCUGCCGAUAACUCGGGGAUAGCCUUUCGAAAGAAAGAUUAAUACCCGAUGGCAUAAUUAGACCGCAUGGUCUUAUUAUUAAAGAAUUUCGGUUAUCGAUGGGGAUGCGUUCCAUUAGGCAGUUGGUGAGGUAACGGCUCACCAAACCUUCGAUGGAUAGGGGUUCUGAGAGGAAGGUCCCCCACAUUGGAACUGAGACACGGUCCAA
rnacentral:rRNA from 1 species